CCUUCUUGCCAGUACCUGACGAAUAAGCAUCGGCUAACUCCGUGCCAGCAGCCGCGGUAAUACGGGGGAUGCGAGCGUUAUCCGGAUUUAUUGGGUUUAAAGGGCGCGUAGGCGGGACGCCAAGUCAGCGGUAAAAGACUGCAGCUAAACUGUAGCACGCCGUUGAAACUGGCGACCUCGAGACGAGACGAGGGAGGCGGAACAAGUGAAGUAGCGGUGAAAUGCUUAGAUAUCACUUGGAACCCCGAUAGCGAAGGCAGCUUCCCAGGCUCGAUCUGACGCUGAUGCGCGAGAGCGUGGGUAGCGAACAGGAUUAGAUACCCUGGUAGUCCACGCCGUAAACGAUGCUCACUGGAUCUUGGCGAUACACUGCCAGGGUUCAAGCGAAAGUAUUAAGUGAGCCACCUGGGGAGUACGUCGGCAACGAUGAAACUCAAAGGAAUUGACGGGGGCCCGCACAAGCGGAGGAACAUGUGGUUUAAUUCGAUGAUACGCGAGGAACCUUACCCGGGUUUAAAUGUGGAGUGCAUGAGCUGGAAACAGUUCUUUCCCUCGGGACUCUUCACAAGGUGCUGCAUGGUUGUCGUCAGCUCGUGCCGUGAGGUGUCGGGUUAAGUCCCAUAACGAGCGCAACCCCUAUCGCCAGUUGCCAGCGGCUGAGGCCGGGCACUCUGUCGAGACUGCCACCGUAAGGUGCGAGGAAGGCGGGGAUGACGUCAAAUCAGCACGGCCCUUACACCCGGGGCGACACACGUGUUACAAUGGCCGGUACAGAGGGCAGCCACGGGGUGACCCGGAGCGAAUCUCUAAAGCCGGUCGUAGUUCGGACUGGAGUCUGCAACCCGACUCCACGAAGUUGGAUUCGCUAGUAAUCGCGCAUCAGCCAUGGCGCGGUGAAUACGUUCCCGGGCCUUGUACACACCGCCCGUCAAGCCAUGGAAGCCGGGAGUACCUGAAGAUCGUGACCGCGAGGAACGGGCUAGGGUAAUACCGGUAACUGGGGCUAAGUCGUAACAAGGUAGCCGUACCGGAAGGUGCGGCUGGAACACCUCCUUUCUGGAGC
rnacentral:rRNA from 1 species